AUACGUAGGUGACAAGCGUUAUCCGGAUUUACUGGGCGUAAAGGGCGUGUAGGCGGUCUUGCAAGUCAGAAGUGAAAUUCCUGAGCUCAACUCGGGCGCUGCUUCUGAAACUGCAGGACUUGAGUGCUGGAGGGGAUAGCGGAAUUCCUAGUGGAGCGGUAAAAUGCGCAGAUAUUAGGAAGAACACCGGUGGCGAAGGCGGUUACCUGAACAGUACCUGACGCGGAGGCGCGAAAGCGUGGGGAGAAAACAGGAUUAGAUCCCCUGGUAGUCCACGCCGUAAACGAUGAAUGCUAGGUGUUGGGGGGCAAAGCCCUUCGGUGCCGCCGCAAACGCAGUAAGCAUUCCACCUGGGGAGUACGUUCGCAAGAAUGAAACUCAAAUGAAUUGACGGGG
rnacentral:rRNA from 1 species